ACAUACACACACAGAAUUGACGGAUUGAAUCGAAUGGUAUAUGUCACUCGGGCCUCCGGGUCUCCGUUUAAAAGACGGUUUUCAGAGCAGUUUUCUAUUGAGAAAGGCAAAACGUAAAUCGUACGAAUAAGUUAUAGCAAAUAAUGGCACAUUUUAUACUUUUAUAAUUAGUGGCUCAUGUCCCUUCAGAUUUGACCGCACUUACCGCUUGAUGACGUCCCAGUUUGAUAUUUCUUUUGAGUGUUUUGAGAAAACGAAAAUCAUCAACGCAGGCCUGGAUACGGUUAAAGAAAUAUAAACAAAUUUUGGUAUCCUCGCAUCGUUGUCCGGAGCAGUUGGAUAUCAUUGUCAUCAUUACCCCCAGGGUUGAAAAAUUGAUUCGGUUCUGUGACUCCGAAUCUAAAGACUAAUGCGUGCGGCAUCGAAGAAUUUAUUCCGUGCAUUUUAGGUCGUCUUGUUUCAAACACCUAUUAAAUCUAUCUAAAGGAUGAUGAUCGAGUUGCACUUUUUGUUGCCAACGAACGGAAAACAGCUACCAGCUCUUGCUUUUGCUCCACCACCCGUUUUUUCUAAGAGAUCAGAGAUGUAUAUUUUCGCUCUGCAGUUUGUUGCUUUUAGCUAAAUAGUUGAAGAAAUUUUUCUCCUCAAAAUAUUUGAUUAUUUCUGCUGCCUCUGCACUCCUUGCUGUCGUUCGAUUCCGUUCACGUAGCUUCGACGUGCUGCCUCGUGGAUCGUCAACUCGUUGGUAGCGAGCCGCGUGGCUUGUUUCGAUAUUCCACCUGUUGCUAUGGGCCUUGGUUGCGUUUAGAUGACCUCGCAUCUGCGUGGUGACUUCAGAAAACUAUUCAGUCAUGUCAAACUAAGGCUUCCAAUAGUCAACACCGGUGAAACAACGUCAUCUCGGUUAUUGACUUCAGAUACAUCGAUCAAUACGGAACAUUUGAACAAGACUGUAGCUUACCCGAGCUCCG